UACGGAGGGUGCGAGCGUUGUCCGGAAUCACUGGGCGUAAAGGGCGCGUAGGUGGCCCGUUAAGUGGCUGGUGAAAUCCCGGGGCUCAACUCCGGGGCUGCCGGUCAGACUGGCGAGCUAGAGCACGGUAGGGGCAGAUGGAAUUCCCGGUGUAGCGGUGGAAUGCGUAGAGAUCGGGAAGAAUACCAGUGGCGAAGGCGUUCUGCUGAGCCGUUGCUGACACUGAGGCGCGACAGCGUGGGGAGCAAACAGG
rnacentral:rRNA from 1 species